ACUUUAUAAUCAUGAAAAUAUUUGAGAAAUCAUUGAUAUUUUUCCAGAUUUGUAUGUUACGGAUUAUUGUAGUCCAGGAAAUUUCAGUGUGGAUUAUUCCGUUCCGUACAGUUCGGAUUAUUGCGUUCCGUAUUUGUAUAGUCUUCCAUUCCAUUAACUUAUCGAUAAAUAAAUAAAUUUAACAAUUAAUAUAUAGGUAGGUGUA